CAGAGGUGGCAAGCGUUGUUCGGAAUUACUGGGCGUAAAGGGCGCGUAGGCGGCCAUCUAAGUCAGACGUGAAAUCCCCCGGCUUAACCUGGGAACUGCGUCUGAUACUGGAAGGCUCGAGUUUGGGAGAGGGAUGUGGAAUUCCGGGUGUAGCGGUGAAAUGCGUAGAUAUCUGGAGGAACACCGGUGGCGAAGGCGGCAUCCUGGACCAACACUGACGCUGAGGCGCGAGAGCUAGGGGAGCAAACGGGAUUAGAUACCCCGGUAGUCCUAGCCCUAAACGAUGAAUGCUUGGUGUGGCGGGUAUCGAUCCCUGCCGUGCCGAAGCUAACGCAUUAAGCAUUCCGCCUGGGGAGUACGGUCGCAAGGCUG
rnacentral:rRNA from 1 species